CAGUCGCCACGGUAAUACGCAGGUGGCAAGCGUUGUCCGGAAUUAUUGGGCGUAAAGGGCUCGCAGGCGGUUUCUUAAGUCUGAUGUGAAAGCCCCCGGCUCAACCGGGGAGGGUCAUUGGAAACUGGGAAACUUGAGUGCAGAAGAGGAGAGUGGAAUUCCACGUGUAGCGGUGAAAUGCGUAGAGAUGUGGAGGAACACCAGUGGCGAAGGCGACUCUCUGGUCUGUAACUGACGCUGAGGAGCGAAAGCGUGGGGAGCGAACAGGAUUAGAUACCCCUGUAGUCCCUGUCUCUUAUAC
rnacentral:rRNA from 1 species